AGAUCAUCUCUUCCUAGGGUACGACAUCGAAUCUCUCUUUGCUCCAGUGUGAUGUUCGCUACCGCUGGCAGAUUAGGGUGGUAUAUACAAGAUUUAUACGGCAGAUGUACACACCUUCAUUGUGUUUGACGAAGUGCCCAACCACGUGAUCACACAGGUGGUCUUUCACCAGAAUGGAUUACUCGGCAUCAGGGAUGGCGCAUACUUCGACAUACUACAUGGUACAUAUUGCUUUUCCAUGCCUGCCAUAAAAAAGAAAUAGUCAGGGAUAAUAGGUAGGCUGCCAUAUCAAAAUUGUCACCACCACCAGAUCAAGAAGAAGGCGAACUUUGGAGAUGCAAUUAUUUUUCCUUUCAUGCAAAAGGGAGACAAAAAGAACAAUUUUCAUGUGCUUCACACGGGUGUUGUAGGAGAGCAUGGUUAUGCUACUCCA